GAUGAACGCUGGCGGCGUGCUUAACACAUGCAAGUCGAACGAAGCACUUUAUUUGAUUUCCUUCGGGACUGAUUAUUUUGUGACUGAGUGGCGGACGGGUGAGUAACGCGUGGGUAACCUGCCUUGUACAGGGGGAUAACAGUUGGAAACGGCUGCUAAUACCGCAUAAGCGCACGGCAUCGCAUGAUGCAGUGUGAAAAACUCCGGUGGUAUAAGAUGGACCCGCGCUGGAUUAGCUAGUUGGUGAGGUAACGGCCCACCAAGGCGACGAUCCAUAGCCGACCUGAGAGGGUGACCGGCCACAUUGGGACUGAGACACGGCCCAAACUCCUACGGGAGGCAGCAGUGGGGAAUAUUGCACAAUGGGCGAAAGCCUGAUGCAGCGACGCCGCGUGAGCGAAGAAGUAUUUCGGUAUGUAAAGCUCUAUCAGCAGGGAAGAUAAUGACGGUACCUGACUAAGAAGCACCGGCUAAAUACGUG
rnacentral:rRNA from 1 species